AGUAUUUUGACUAUACAAAGGUAUUGAAAUAAGACUUUAAUUGAGUGCUAAGAGAAUGGAAUUUCAUAAAAUUUCUUUUUUAAUUUUAAAAAUUGAAAUUAAUUUUAUAUGUGAAGAAACAAUAAUAAAAAUUAAGGACAAGAAGACCCUAAGAAUUUUAAAAAUUUCAAUAAAAUGCAGCAUUUUAUUGAAAUUUUUUAAUUGGGGCGAUUAUUAAAUAUUAAAAACUUUAAUUUUUUAAAAAAGAACCAAUAAUAUUGGUUAUUUGAAAAAAUACUCUAGGGAUAACAGCGUAAUAAUUUUUGAUAGUUCUUAUAGACAAAAUAGUUUGCGACCUCGAUGUUGGAUUAGGAUUCUUUUUUAAUGAAGAAGUUAAAAAAAGAAGUUUGUUCAACUUUUAAAAUCCU
rnacentral:rRNA from 1 species